rnacentral:lncRNA from 1 species
UCAGUAAGUGGCAGCUGCUUAUUAAGCAUCCGUGAUGUGUAUGUAUUUUCCAAGCAGCAUCUCAAACAGUCAUUGUUUUGUUUUGUUUUUUUUUUUUUCCAGCGAUUGCCUUCAACCUUGCUCUUCGGUAUCUCUUUGUCAAGCUGCGCUGCCAUACGGGUCAGAUCACAGAACUUCCAUUCACCUCCAGCAAUCAAUACGGUGCCAUCCCCGAAUGUUGGGAGGACAGCAGUGACCGAGUUCACAGUUAGUGAGUGACUAUCUUUGGUACCUGUGCUAUUUCCAUAAUAGAUGUUUAUGUCAUUUACAGAAGUCACAUCAUGACCCCAUGUAACUGGGAAAUUAUAAAUGGGACUAGAUCAAUGUAAUCCCUAAGCAGAAGAGGAACAGAAACAUAUUCUUGACACCAAAAGCAAAACACAUUUUGAUCUUCAGGGAGAACUGAAUGUUUUGCUUGAGAAACUGGAAACAUCCAGUUCGUUUUUGGUUGGUAAGAGCUAAGCCAUCUACUGGCUGCCUUCUCUAGGAAUUGUCUUCAAGAAGGAGCAAGAAAAGUACAGUUGAGCACACAACAUUGAUCCAACUCCAUAGAAACUCCUUGGGGAGGAGCAGUGUGAGCCGAUGUGCACUUGCUAAAGAAAAUAAGAAACUCAUUCUUCAUGAAACUGUAAUCGUUGGGGCUCUUAAGGUAUCUGGAAAUACAACAAACACUGCAAUCAAUGGAAAUGUGUUUGGAUGUAACUGUCAAACUCGCUGAAGAUGAAAAAAAAUUGUAUGUCUUCAGCAAUAACAAUAUCUGAAUCACAGAGUGCACAUCUGUCAGAUGUUCUUUCCCAAAUGACCCAGCUAAUGCAAGUGCAUCUCUGCUUACAAGUACAAAGCCAAGCCAAGUAAAAAGCCUGUUAGGAAAAGAGAAUAAUUUUGCUGUCAAAAAUUCAUACUCUGCAAAUCUCUUGGAUUCAAGGCACAGAGUAAUAAAAGUGAGAUUCUGCUUCUACGACCGCUGAAG